rnacentral:rRNA from 1 species
GAUGAGGUGGAAACGGAUAGAGCCGACGUUCGGACUCGUAUUUAGCGCGUAUCUUACGCAGCGAUGCGGGUUGAGAGCGCUGAGAACUGCUGGAGGACGGAGAUUUUUCAUGUUUGCUUGCGCCUAGUCGCUCAACACUGAUACUAUGUGCUCUUUCUUCUGGCAGGUUUACCGGGGAUCAGGUACUCCUUCGAAAGGAUGUCGUUGUGUGGGCACUAACGCUUGCGAUAUUAUCCUCACAAUGACUUCUGGAACGUUUGGUGACCUGAAACCUUCUCGGUGUAAAGUCGGUCACCUAUCCGACCCGUCUUGAAACACGGACCAAGGAGUUUAGCGUAUGCGCGAGUCAUUGGAAUUUGAAAUCCACAGGCGUAAUGAAAGUGAAGAUUGUGCGAUCUUGUGCACUACGGUGUGCAGGAGCAGCACAGCCCUGCGGCGACCAUUCAUGGUGCCGCUGAGGCAGAGCGUAUGCGAUGAGACCCGAAAGAUGGUGAACUAUUCCCGAGCAGGACGAAGCCGGGGGAAACUCCGGUGGAAGUCCGAAGCGGUUCUGACGUGCAAAUCGAUCGUCUGACUUGGGUAUAGGGGCGAAAGACUAAUC